AUUGAACGCUGGCGGCGGGCCUAACACAUGCAAGUCGAGCGAGCGGCGGACGGGUGAGGAAUGUCUGGGAAACUGCCUGAUGGAGGGGGAUAACUACUGGAAACGGUAGCUAAUACCGCAUACCAUCAGAUGCGCCCAGCUGGGAUGAGCUAGUAGGUGGGGUAACGGCUCACCUAGCCGACGAUCCCUAGCUGGCCUGAGCGGAUGACCAGCAGAACUGGAACUGAGACACGGUCCAGACUCCUACGGGAGGCAGCAGUGGGGAAUAUUGAACAAUGGGCGCAAGCCUGAUGAAGCAAUGCCGCGUGUGUGAAUAAGGCCUUCGGGUUGUAAAGCACUUUCAGCGGGGAGGCGUUACCCGCAGAAGAAGCACCGGCUAACUCCGUGCCAGCAGCCGCGGUAAUUC
rnacentral:rRNA from 1 species